UACGUAGGGUGCAAGCGUUGUCCGGAAUUAUUGGGCGUAAAGAGCUCGUAGGCGGUUUGUUGCGUCGGCUGUGAAAUCCCGAGGCUCAACCUCGGGUCUGCAGUCGAUACGAGCAAACUAGAGUGUUGCAGGGGAGACUGGAAUUCCUGGUGUAGCGGUGAAAUGCGCAGAUAUCAGGAGGAACAUCAGUGGCGAAGGCGGUCUGCUGGGCCGUUGCUGACGCUGGAGGCACGAAAGCGUGGGGAGCAAACAGG
rnacentral:rRNA from 1 species